UGGGGAAUCUUGCGCAAUGCGCGAAGGCGUGACGCAGCAACGCCGCGUGGGCGAAGAAGGCCUUCGGGUCGUAAAGCCCUUUCAGCAGGGACGAAGCUUCGGCAGCGAAUAGCUGUCCGGAGUGACGGUACCUGCAGAAGAAGCCCCGGCUAACUACGUGCCAGCAGCCGCGGUAAUACGUAGGGGGCUAGCGUUGUCCGGAAUCAUUGGGCGUAAAGCGCGCGUAGGCGGCCAGAUAAGUCCGGUGUGAAAGUCAAAGGCUCAACCUUUGAAUGCCGCUGGAAACUGUCUGGCUAGAGUCCGGAAGGGGCGAGUGGAAUUCCUGGUGUAGCGGUGAAAUGUGCAGAUAUCAGGAGGAACACCAAUGGCGAAGGCAGCUCGCUGGGACGGUACUGACGCUGAGGCGCGAAAGCGUGGGGAGCGAACAGGAUUAGAUACCCUGGUAGUCCACGCCGUAAACGAUGGGCACUAGGUGUCGGAGGUGUCGA
rnacentral:rRNA from 1 species